UACGAAGGGGGCUAGCGUUGCUCGGAUUGACUGGGCGUAAAGAGCUUGUAGGCGGUUUGUCGCGUCUGCUGUGAAAAUCCGGGGCUCAACCCCGGACUUGCAGUGGGUACGGGCAGACUAGAGUGUGGUAGGGGAGACUGGAAUUCCUGGUGUAGCGGUGAAAUGCGCAGAUAUCAGGAGGAACACCGAUGGCGAAGGCAGGUCUCUGGGCCACUACUGACGCUGAGAAGCGAAAGCUAGGGUAGCAAACGGG
rnacentral:rRNA from 1 species